rnacentral:rRNA from 1 species
AUUAGAUACCCGCGUAGUCCUAGCCGUAAACGAUACUCGCUAGGUGUCGGCCACGGUGCGACCGUUGUCGGUGCCGUAGGGAAGCCGUGAAGCGAGCCACCUGGGAAGUACGGCCGCAAGGCUGAAACUUAAAGGAAUUGGCGGGGGAGCACCACAACGGGUGGAGCUUGCGGUUUAAUUGGAUUCAACGCCGGAAAUCUUACCGGGACCGACAGCGAUAUGAAGGCCAGGCUGAAGACUUUGCCGGAUUAGCUGAGAGGUGGUGCAUGGC